AAUUAAAUCAUGAAAUUCAUAGAUUUUGUGUCAUGCUUCAUGAAGUCGUUACAAACUUCCAUCUCUGACGACAAAUACAGAUUUUUAACUACUUAAGUGGAAUGACCAUAUCAUAUACAAAUACGGCAAUUUGCUCAGGCCCACUUUCGGUUAGCAAACAAUGGUACGAUAUAUGACCAUGGCCGUACCAACCAUAGUGGCCCUAACAAAUAUCUAUAGUCACGAUAAUAUUUAGCCAAGGGUGACCUCUACAGAUAGUGCGAUAUCACUCUCGUUAGAGGGCACGCCAUCAUGCACUAGGAGUGGUCCUCUUAUGUCUUUCCAAACCUAAUGGGGGAUGGGGUUAGGAGAACAGAUUCCCCUCAGAGAUAAAAAGUCUAACAAGACAUUUGAUACAUUAUGUAUGUCAAUACAU
rnacentral:lncRNA from 1 species